AGAGGGAGACAAACAAGUACAGACAAUUCUUCCCAUUAUAUGUUAUUGCUGUCAUCAGCCAUUCUUCCCCUGAUUCGGUUGGCACCCUACCCACUCGCACUUUGACCACACGUUUGCCGCAGUACGAAGGCAGGAGCAUCCAUUCUUCUGACCUUAUAGCCUCUGUGGAGUGCUUUAUUGCUACCUCCUCUGUUUUGAAGCGCACCGCCACAGUGGCAUAUUUUCUCCCUCUCGUAAUGUUCCACCUUUAUCUCGCGGACCUCCAACUCUUGCACGUCUACUCCUCUGCUCGAUGCGGCCGCAUAACUUGGGCCUCCCUCCUGCAUCUUCUCCAUUUUCCCACGAUAGGAAAAAAAAAACAAUGAACAGCAGCAACAGUUCCAACAAUUCAAAUCAAACAACAAUGGCAACAAUUCGAUAAAUAUUUCAACAUAAACUCCCGCAAUAACUCCGCUAAGCAUUUUGCCCGGCGUGCAAACGUUCCUGCCAGCUUUCCGCCCUUUGUUACUCUAUAUAUCGCCCCAAGACCAACGGUUACAGAGUAGGUAGACAAGAAUGACAAUGGUAGUGAAUUUGCAUCCACGUAGGAUAGGCUGUAGUUCAAAUGAGGAACACCUGUUGGAAAUUAUAUUGCUUCGAAUGAAAUACGUGCUGGAAAAUAAAUGCAAACAAUUAUUACAGUCGGAUCGACCAAUCGCCUCCUUGACCGAUGUGUUACCUACACAGUUGCAAAACAAAUUUUUGAGGAAUAUUCUACAAAUUCGUAAACUGUUGAACAAUUCUUCGGCCUGCAAGGCUUCUUGAUUUUCCAAUCUUAGCGGUGGCACUAGUUCUGGAUUUACAACUUUUUUAAUGAUGAAUCUGGUAGCAGACUUCAAGGAGAAAACUAAACUGAAAUUUUCAGUUCAUCUAUCACCACGAGUUUCUACAGCUGUUGUAGAAUAGAAUUGUUCCGUUCUACUACAACUACUCAUGCUAAUCUAGAAUAUUCUAAUUACUCAUUUAUGUUCGACAAUGAAACAUUUUAUGAAAUCUGUUAAAGACAUUUUAGAUGUUGGGUACCCAACGUUGAUGCACUUAAAUGUUCUAAUUGCUUAGGUCGUGAAUUCUAUUAUUGCAUUUCUAAGGUAUGUUGGAUCUCUUAAUGUGGAUGUGAACGACUUUUCUAUUAACUUGGUACCCUACCCCAGGCUACAUUUUCCGUUAGGAAAUAUUAAAUCGUAUUAUUUACUAGAUAACUCCCGCGGAUGGCUCUAGAUUGAGCCUUGGGCCCAACAAUGGCACUUCAUGCAUUGAGUACAUAUUAAAUGUUAUUAAACUUGAAUAAUAUUUUUCGAACAAUUAAGUUUUCAUCGAAACAAUGAAAUAACUUGUCUGUUUGGAACUUAUGGCAAAGCUGCAUGAUAAACAUUUUUGUUCUUCCUAUUCGGGGUCAGUUCAAAUAGUUUGUUUUCAUUCUCAUCUCUUGAACAACCAAAAUAGAGCUGACCGUGAGAAAAACGGGGUUCCAUCAAAUGAAGCCCAGUUACUUGCAAUUUGAUUGUCCUUGGGACUUAUUGACUGACAUUGCAUAGCUCACUCUCACUGGACAUUGAAGUCUUUUGAACUCAAAAGGAAGAUCUGGAGGAGUUAAGGGGAUUCUUCGAAUCAAAACCUUUACCUUUCUUGAACCAGUAAGGAUCUCUGCUUCCAAGAGAUGAGGAAGCAUCUUCUUGACAAUUAACCUUGUUCCAUUACAAUACUUUGGAGGAUCCAGAUUUUUCAAUGGCAUAACUGGCACAUUUUAUUUUAGUUCCAGCUUGUGUGAUGGCAUUCCAUGAGGUUUCAAUGAGUUCAUGAACUCUAUUUGACAAUUCACUGCCUGCUCUUCUUCAACCACAGUAUCAAUGGAAAAGUACUUCAUACUCUCUUUUGGAAUUUCUUGGAGAAAUUUCCAGUUGUUGAUGUCCAGUUUCAUUCUUGAGAGCUAAUAUGGCCCUCUCACAAAGCCAGUUUGAAUCCAUGAAAUGGAAUGGUGCUUAAUGAUUGGAUAAACAUGGCUAUCAAGUCUUGGAUACUUGCGACUGAAAUUCCACAACCAUUUGUUAGUGAAAUAUCUGUAGUUUGGUCCAUUUUGAUGGUUCCAUUGCCAAGCUGCAACAGAAAAGUAGCAAAUCUUCCUGCUUCAAGGUCACCUGUGAUUCUAACUCUUAUGUUUGUUUUCGAGCUGAGUCUUUUAUCAUGGCUCCAGAUGUAAGAAUUUUUCAGGCAAUCAUUGAUUUCAUCAGAUGGAGGUCCUCUUGCAAUGACUGAUAAUGUUUGUUUAAAACCACCAGAGAGUAGCACAAUGAUACCUGCCAUGAUUUGUGAAUUGUCUAAUGUAUUGGAAUGUUUUGCCCAGGGCUUCAAAUGUUCGCUUGUGUGCCAUGGUACAUUCAUUACAGACAAUGAAACUUCUUUCCCCCAGUAGUUUAGCUAAGUUGGUUCCUUUCCUGAUGUUUCAAAUAGUGGUUUCAUUGUAGUUCAACUCCAAUGGAAGUUUGAAAGUGCUGUAUGCCUUUCAGGCAAAAGGGUAGCAGAAAUUCCAGAUGAUGCUAUUGUUAGGGCUACUUUCUUUGGACUUUCACUGCAGAUACAAGGUUGGUUAUAAAAGUUUUGCCAGUACCUCCAAGUGCAUCCAAGAAGAAAAUCCCUCCAUUGUUGUUAUUAUCAACAGAUAUUUGUUUAUUAGCCACAGGGACCCAAUAUAGAAGGGGCUGCACAAGGACAGACAACACAACGUGGAGACAUAAAAAUAUGAACAGAUGAAUGAAAUGAAUUAUAAAAUAGAGGAUGAAAUGGCUGUUCCUACCCCACUAUGGAGUAGACCACUUGACUGUUUUGUUUAUUUUUUACACAGUUGAUCAAUUAUCAAGAACACUUUUUCCAUACUUUCUGCACAUAUGGUUGUGAUGCAAGUGCCUGAUGCACCCUUAUCAGACGGGUGGUUAUGACUGGUAUACUGAGCUUCGUAUAUUUUACUCCGCUUUGAUCGCACGCACUGCUUUCUCAGUAAUAGUAAUAGUGGUUGUAAAUUUUGUCACAAGUGCAUCAAUUUUGGUGGAGAGUAUGAGUCGAUUACAGCUACCCCAGUGCUUAACCGGCACUUAUUUUAUCGACCCGAAAGGAUUUUAUCGACCCCGAAAGGACUAUUCCAUGUCCCAGUGGGUCUGUUUUUCCAAAAUUUUUCGUGUUGUCGCUCAUAAUUUUCAGUGUCAACAACAGCACACAUCGUUUCCUCUGGGUAAUUCUUUGGUAGCAUAUUCACUUUUGUAGCUAUUUUUAUUUUGUCUAACUUCUUCUCAAUGGCCGAGCUCUUUGUAUAGAACAUAAAAUAUUUCUUUUUUUAUGCUCGGCCAGAGAUGCUUAGGUGUGUUUGUUUUGUGUCAUCAGGUACUUCUAUGCUUUCAGGGACCUCAUUAGAUCCGAUUGGGUGGCCCGGCUAAUUGACUCCAGGCCGUAACCCUACCAAUUAACUGUUUAGUUCUGGUUGCUUGUAUAACUUUCGCCUACUCUUUCGUAUUGGCAAGUAUGGCUGCUGCUAUCCAAGUCUAUCUAAUGUCUGGCGGAAUGCUGCUAAUCCUAACUCUAAAGAUGCGUUUCCCGCAGCCAUUCGUCUGUCCUUAUUAGUACAGUGGAGUGUUUGAAUGCCACCUCUUUGAAAGCAAACCUUACUUCCACUGUACCGUAUCUCCUUUCUCUGGUGUAGGAGGAGAUGUCUCUUCUCACCAUAUCUAAGCACUUUUCAAUAUCAUCCUCCGGUGUUAUCUCUAUUUUCUUCCUUUUUCAAGUACAGAGUUCUGUACAUGACCGUACGUCUUCUCACACUUUCGGCUGCUUCUUCUGGAAGGGUCAACUUUGCGUUCGACCCUUCCCUUUCUAUCAAUUACAUGCAGCCACUCAGUGUUUCUUCGUGAAUAAUGACUUUCCACAUUUACAACUGCUUCACUAUGGUUCCUUUCUCUGCUGCAGACGCGUAGCUUCCGGCUCGCGCGCCCUCACGCUCAACAUCCAUUUC